AGCCUAUCCGCAGACUGCAGACACUACUACUAUGGAUAUCAGCGCAAGCAGAGGCUUGGUGGAGCUGUGUGCAUCGCCUUUCUCCUCCUUGUCUCAUCGUUCGCUGAUGAAAGCUCCGGAGCCCAUGAUUCUGGGAGGAAUAUGACAUCAGGAGGGGUCUCGGACGACUAUCCAACGUACGGUCCACCAAUUUACGGCGCAGUGAAAAAAAUAAUGGCUAGAGUGAUUCUUGUAAUAUUUUGUUGUUUGUUUUCAUUUCUUUUCUGAAACCUACCUUUUGUUUUGAUUACUUUAAUGUAUAUUAAUUAGUGGGAAUAGCCCCUCCUGUUUCAAUCUAAAGAACACGGCAGACAGCCGAGUUUAUGUUUGUGGAGUAUGUAAGUAAAUAAAAUGACAUGUACACAG